GCUUAUUUUAAUAGUUGAAUACAACGAUGGUUUUUCAUA
rnacentral:tRNA from 1 species